rnacentral:rRNA from 1 species
UAGCAUAUCAAUAAGCGGAGGAAAAGAAACCAACCGGGAUUGCCCUAGUAACGGCGAGUGAAGCGGCAAGAGCUCAAAUUUGAAAGCUGGCCCCCCUCGGGGUCCGCAUUGUAAUUUGUAGAGGAUGCUUCGGGAGCGGUCCCCAUCUAAGUGCCCUGGAACGGGCCGUCAUAGAGGGUGAGAAUCCCGUAUGGGAUGGGGUGCCCGCGCCCGUGUGAAGCUCCUUCGACGAGUCGAGUUGUUUGGGAAUGCAGCUCUAAUUGGGUGGUAAAUUUCAUCUAAAGCUAAAUAUUGGCCGGAGACCGAUAGCGCACAAGUAGAGUGAUCGAAAGAUGAAAAGCACUUUGAAAAGAGAGUUAAACAGCACGUGAAAUUGUUGAAAGGGAAGCGCUUGCGAUCAGACUCGCUCGCGGGGUUCAGCCGGCCUUCGGGCCGGUGUACUUCCCCGCGGGCGGGCCAGCGUCGGUUUGGGCGGCCGGUCAAAGGCCCCUGGAAUGUAACGCCUCUCGGGGCGUCUUAUAGCCAGGGGUGCCAUGCGGCCUGCCCGGACCGAGGAACGCGCUUCGGCUCGGACGCUGGCAUAAUGGUCGUAAGCGACCCGUCUUGAAACACGGACCAAGGAGUCUAACAUCUACGCGAGUGUUCGGGUGUCAAACCCGUGCGCGCAGUGAAAGCGAACGGAGGUGGGAACCCCUCGGGGUGCACCAUCGACCGAUCCUGAUGUCUUCGGAUGGAUUUGAGUAAGAGCGUAGCUGUUGGGACCCGAAAGAUGGUGAACUAUGCCUGAAUAGGGCGAAGCCAGAGGAAACUCUGGUGGAGGCUCGCAGCGGUUCUGACGUGCAAAUCGAUCGUCAAAUUUGGGUAUAGGGGCGAAAGACUAAUCGAACCAUCUAGUAGCUGGUUCCUGCCGAAU